UGCGGAGAGGGUUGGAUCCCAGCUCGGUUUCAUAGGCCGACGCCCAGCAGGUUCGAUUCCUGCCUCCGCAACCA
rnacentral:tRNA from 1 species